AUAAUGAUUAUAACAUGGUUGCUAUGAUGGUUGCUAUGGACGCUGAAACCAGCAGCUCGCAUGCCGUUAAAUCAUGGGUAUAAAACCAUUGUCUUUGCUGGUUAUGUAAGGGAUAAUGUAUAGAACAAUUAUUGCCUUCAGGCGAUAACGGCUUAUUUUAGAUAAUGACCGGCGACGCUCAUUGCACGGAUACUUGCCUAAACGAAAUACUAACUUCACAUGGUUGCUAGGGACGGGCUGAAAGACGCCGUGGGCACCUGUCCCAUUGGAAGUCAGAGGACCUGUCCCGGUAGUAGUGUAAUGUCCGUUUUUAGGUUUUUACCCUAACGAUGAUUUAAAAAAAAUAUCUGUGACGCUUCUUGCCCUUAACACAGCAUUGUAUCCUUGUUAUUUACACAAGCCAAUGUUACGUACAUCUUUUUCCGGAUUUUCCGAGCGUCGUCCUUGGCGGAAGUUGCAGUUUUCGCGCUACCAACCUCAGGUAAGAACUCGCAUUGAAUGGUUAAGAGACUAAAAAUAAGAAGUAGGCCUAAAACGACGCCACAAAGGUUGAUAGUAUCAGCCCAAAUGAAGUGGAUAGCCCGUUUAGAACUGUACAGUAGCAAUUUAAUUUGACAGAUUUAUUUAAGACACUACACUGUCAUAAAUGUGCACAGACGUAUUUUAGCCAGCUAGUAGCCUAUCCGAGCCCUACAGCCAGCUAGUAGGGCUACAGGAUGAAAAAGGCUAAGUCUUUAAAUGUAAUCUUUAUUUUGGUGUACAUUUAUUUGAAAAGCCUUGCAUAAACUAUAUUGACCGUUGCUAUGAACAAGAAACAUGUUUCCUAAAUGUUUAAAUCAUGUCACGAUGUAAUCUUGAAUGUGGUGUGUGAUGGUUACCUUGCAUCAAUGACUGAGAUGUGCUUUGAUUUCCUAUGCAUCAAAAUAGACAUUGCAUACACAACUGUAUUUGUUUUGUUAUAUUUGCAAUUUCAUUUUAAUAAAAUAAAAAGUCCAUAGGGUAAUCCUGUUUGCCAUUUGGCUAAUUAUAUGGUCAGCAAUAUGUUAUGAUGGUAUUGAUACCAUUGUUGCCUUUUCCCACUGGCAGCCCUUACAGUAGCCUACAUCCAGAUGGGAUACUUAACCUAAUUGCCAUUUGUCUUUGAAUGUAUAUUUACAAUGUGCAUCAAUGAAUUAAAAACAUUUUAACUGGUGAAUACUUUAUACUAUGACAAGUAUUGACUGCAUAUUAUAGCUUCUAUCACUCCAAUUGCAAUAGGACCAAUAUAUAUGAAUGAAACAACGUACCACUUGUAGUAUUUUAUACUGUAAUGAACUGACAGCAAACAUUUCACCAUCAUUUGCAGAAUGACAAAGCCAAAAACGAGGCUGUGCCCUUCCUGCCAGACCCCAAAUUGGCUGAGGAGGAAGACCUGUGCAAAUUGUGUCUGCCCUCUUCAGCAGAGUGGCAAAGAUUUGCAAAGUUGGGCAAAGUCUGUGAAGGCCAACAAAAACGCACACAGGACCUUGGAGUCGGCCCAUGUAUCGGUGAAUAAACUAAAUGCUCUUGGGUACUGCCCUUUGUUAUUUGUGGGACGACAUGGCCGAAAAGGAGAAUUCAACGGGGACAUGAUUCACCAUAUCCCGGUCAAUGAUGAGGUGGUGUGGGAAAUCCUGAAAAAAAUGGGCAAGCUGUUAGGGAAGCUGGAGGUGCAGGCAGGCAGAGCUGCAUCUCCGCCAGGGCGCAUCAACAGCUGUGCCUGGGCCAAUGGCGGACAGUGCUCGGUCUGGAGCAGGGCCAGGACCAGGACCAUCCUUCACCCCCUCUCAGCCUCCUCCCCCUCCACCCUUCACCCCUCUCAGCCUCCUCCCCCUCCAACCUUCACCCC
ensembl:lncRNA